rnacentral:tRNA from 1 species
GGAGCCGUGGCGCAACAGGGAGCGCGCCCGACUGUCUCUCGGGAGAUUGCGGGUUCGAGUCCCGUCGGUUCCG